CCGGGGCCAUGGCCGAGGUCGGCGGGAGCCCGCGGAGGAGGGCGCCGGCGCUGCUCGAGGGGGCCCGCGCGCGCUGCGAGAGCCCGCACAUCUGGGACGACGUGUUCGGCGAGUCCAGCCCGGAGAGCGGCGGGAACCCCUUCUACAGCACGUCCGCCGCCUCGCGCUCCUCUUCGGCCGCCGCAUCGGACGACGAACAGGAGCGCCCCGGCCCCCCGCCGCCUCCCGGCGCCCCCGAAGCGCAGGAGUCCGACGAGGACGAGGCCAGCGCGGGUUGGAGUGCCACGCUGCGGGGCCGCCCGCCCAUGCGCUUCGAGGACAGUGGCGCACAAGUCGAGGGAGAGGAUGAAAGAGAAGCAAGAUCUGCACUGAGCAAGGAGCCAGAUGCAGGGCUGGAUCCCAGGACCCUGGACAGAUGCUGCACUGAGGGAGCCACCCAGACACCCUUUUAGACCUAGGAUGCAGGUAAGAUCUGAAGGAGUCAAUCUGUUUCUUCUGUGGCUUCAAGCACUUCAGACAAACUUUGCAGAAGAGCAGGUGCUGAUUUUUGCUUGCCUCGUGCCUGGUUUCCCAGCGAUCAUGUCAUCCAGAGGGACCUGCAUGGUGGAGACACUCAUCAGUCCUAGCCCUGGUGUGGUGGAUGACAUCCCCCAUUUGAGACCAGUGCCAGUGUAUGUACAUUACUACAACUCAAGACAAUGAAAACAUUUAUAGUAUAAAAUUUCCAUACAUGGCUAUUCACAUUGUUUUUAUUAAAUGGAUUAUAAAUUUUUUUUUUGGAAAAAAAGUAUCUAGCUAUAAUCCAAAACACUCAAAAUCGAGUUGCUGUACUGCCCCAAAUCAUACAGGAAUGAAAAGGACUCGUCAUUCACCGGCAAAUCUGAAGAAAGAAGCGAGAGCAAGAGUAAGGGAGAAAGAGAGUGAGAGGAGCAUCUGAUGGGAUAGGAUUUCUUACAAAAGGACUCCUGAAAUGACCAGAGAAAACAGACCAACAAAAAAGGGCAGACUUUGACCAAGCGGUGCUCAACGACGUGAAUAUCCACAUGGAACAGAAGAGGUUUUAACGCUAUUCCCUACUGAUGUAGCCUACAUACUAAAGAGGACAUCAGAAGUUUUCUGGAAGAUACAAUAGAUAACCAUUUUGAGGACCUGGGGGAGGUGGCAGAGAUGAGUGGAACAGAACACCAAAAACAGGAAGCCCAAGAAAGCUUGGGUGCCGCUUCCAGUCGGCGACGAGAGAAGAAUUAGGCAUGAACCAGUCAGCUGCAAAAGACUGGGAGCAGGGGACAAUAGUCGAAAAGGACGAAAAGGACGGCUGCCAGGAACAACUCCACAGUCUCACUUUUAUUGGAUAGAAAACAAUAGCCAAUAGAAGGAUUGAGGAAGGUCAAAUGUUAAUCCCAUCUUUCUGACAAGCAAGAAGGAGGAUAAAGUUUAUAGUUAAGCAAGCACAUUGAAAAAACUCUUCUAACAACGGGCACUUCUGGGAAGAGAAAGGCUCGAUGGCGGAUAAGGGAGGCAGGCGGUUUUUAUUCCACCCUGAGCUAACCUGGCGUUCCUGGGUGCUCUGCUUUCCUGAAGCAGGCGGCAUUCCGCCCUGGGCCAGCCGGACUUCCAGCCAGCGCAGCUUCUGUGAAGGGGCGGUGUUCCGCCUUGAGCGAGCUGGGCAUCUCCAGCUACCCAGCUUCACAGUCAUAUAUCAUCCUUUUCCCCAAAUACCUGUUGCCAGUAUAUGUAUUUCUAGAGGUCAUAUGUAAAUGUGCUUGGUAACUAGUAAAAUCCUCCAGGGGUUACAGUUUAAGUAACAAAUUGUUCCAAGGGGCAGCAGCAGUUGGGAAGUUGGACUCUACUCAUUCCAAGGUUCCAAACAAAAAAAUCUUGCCCAACAAAUGACAAGACUAAAACUAUUAAAGACUCUAUGCAGAUACCAGAUAAGAAACUGUAUACAACUCUAAAUAGGAGAACUAGGAAUCAAGAAGAAUAGAUAGGUAACUUCAAAACAAUGAAAAUCCUAGAGCAGAAAUAUCCCAAGGAGAAAGCCAUCGGCCAAGAAACAUGAAAAGAUUCCUGAAAUCCUCAGUGAUCACAAAAGAGCAAAGGAAAACACAAUGUGUUAGUGUUAACCCAAGGGGGCAGACCCCAAAGAGUGUUGCUUAAUCCAAUGGAUUGAAUCAUGAAAAACGGAUUUAAUCAUGGAGUGGGGCACCUGGGUGGCUGCUUUCUGCUGGGGUCCUGAUGCCAGUGUCUUGGGCUCCAGACCUUCCUGGGGCUCUGUGCUCAGCAGGAAGCCUGCUUCUCCCUCUCCCACUUCCAUGGCUUCUACUCCUUCUCAAAUUGGGCUUCCUCUCUUGCUGUCUCUGUAUUUCUGUCCAAUUCAUCAAUCGAUCAACCAAUUCCUUCAAUUCAAGAAGUAAAAAUAAAAUGUUGAUGCAUGGGGCCCUAAAGAACGACAAGAAUAUGGAGGGUUGUUUGAUGAUUUUUUAAAGAUUUUCUUUCUUCCUCUGACAGACAGAGAGGAGAAGGAGGGAGAGAGACAGGCAGAGAUGGAGGGGUAAACAGGCUCCAUGCUAAGGAAAGAGCCAGAUGCAGGGCAGGGUGCGCAGGCUGCUGCCUCGCCAAGUCCAGCAUGAAGCCCUGCAGCAGCUCCAGCAGUCCCAAGGGGAUCUCUCUGCAGGUCUUGCCUGCCCCUCUCCCGCCGGGGGCACCUGGGCGCCGCCCUCACCUCCUCCCUGGAACGACCUGUGGCCCUGCCCCACCCCCACCCCCCCCAACAAGCACGCUCAGAGGGCGCUGGAGGCGCUCAAGGAGGCUUGCCCCAAGGCUCCCUUGGCUCAGCUGCUCCCUGCUGCUCCCUGCCAUGGCAGCACCGAGGGCGGCAUCCGCUGAGGGAGCCUGCCCCUGGCAGGGCUGGCAGCACCGAGGGAACCUCCUGCUUGCCCUGGGGCCUGUCACUUCUCUCCCCACCCCUCCCACUCUCAACCAUUGUUCCCUUCUGUGAAGGGUUUUCAUACUUGGUUUUAGGGCAAGAGCACAAUUGAGUGUGAGGGGGAAAGGGCAGGACCAAAAGAGAGACCCAGUGGACUCUGCCCUGAGCCCAGAGUUUGCCUCAGGGCUCAAUCUCAAGAGCCUGUGAUCACCACCUGAGCCAGAACCAAAGAGUUGGGCGCUUUACUGAGUGUGCCACCCAGGUGCCCCUGAGCUGUUGUGGACCAAUUUCUGGAGAGGGGUGCCUGCGUGGCUCUGUUUGUUCAGCGACGGCCUUGGGCUCAGGUCAUGACCCCGGUUUUGCAGGAUCUCCUCCCGCCUCGGGCUCCCAGCUCCUUGGGGAGUUGGUUUCUCCCACUGACCUCCUCUCUCAUGCUCUCUCUCACUCAUUCUCUCACAAAGAAAGAAAGAAAAGCUUUCCAAAAAAUGUCUUUAGCCUUGUUUUAUGGGCUUCAAUAUGGUUGAUCUCAAUGAGUUUUCUCAUCGGAUGCAGACAACUUGAGGAUAGCCAUGAGUUUCUAAAAGGGUCCUUUUGUGUUCUGAAAUGUCUUCUUUCUCUGUUCAUUUAUCAGGUGUCUUUCCAUUGUCUCUUCUCAAGACCUAGGAAAAGCAGCCUUUGAGGAUUCGUUUGGGUAUGGUCUAGUCCUUUUCAUCCUUUUUCUUUCCACAAAAUCUAUAGUAGCCUCUGCAUCCUUCUAAGUAGAGUUUAUUUUUCACUGCCCUAUUGAGGUCUUUUCUUUCAAUAGAAUUUGAGUCGUUCAUUCUGAAGGUCAUUGUUGAAAUGUUGAAUUUGAAGUCUACUACCUCGCUAGGCAUAUUUUCUUGUUCCUGUCUAUUCCUUCUUCCCUUUCCCUUUAGAACUGCCUUCCUUUCGAUGACCUGAGUCCUUUGGAGGCUAAUCUCUGCCUUCUUUGAUUGGCUGUCACAGGGGAAGUCAGAGAUUAGUAGGUAUUUCUGACCCUUUUUACAGUUGUUCUCCCCUUCUUUAGGGAAGCUCUAGAGUCAGCUUUCUCGGAGGGAUCAUUUCAUCCCGCUCCUAACUCAUGCUCCUUACCGGGUCUCUACUGAAUAUUGUGACUUAGCCAGAAGAACACUUCCCUUUGGCUGGUAGGAACUCCAAUGAUCUCUAGCCUUGUAGGAGUCUUGGCAACCAUCUGGUUCCGUUGCCUUGACUCUCUGUCAGAACCUGGAGCAUUUUCUAAGACACACAUUGCUUCCUAUGGACCAAGGACUCAAGAGGACUCCAGUGUGUAUUUUCAAGAGCUUGUUUUCUACUUGAAUUCCGUCUCUCUGGUACCCAUGGCGUUUUCAUCACUCCAGCCUUCCUGAAUCCCAAUCUCUCUUUCCUCACAGCAGGGAGACUUCCAUCUUUUCCUUGGAAUCUC